UCGGGAAUUUUGGGCAAUGGGCGAGAGCCUGACCCAGCAACGCCGCGUGAAGGAUGAAGUAUUUCGGUAUGUAAACUUCGAAAGAAUAGGAAGAAUAAAUGACGGUACUAUUUAUAAGGUCCGGCUAACUACGUGCCAGCAGCCGCGGUAAUACGUAGGGACCAAGCGUUGUUCGGAUUUACUGGGCGUAAAGGGCGCGUAGGCGGCAAUUCAAGUCAUCUGUGAAAUCUCCGGGCUUAACUCGGAACGGUCAGAUGAUACUGCUUUGCUAGAGUGCAGAAGGGGCAAUCGGAAUUCUUGGUGUAGCGGUGAAAUGCGUAGAUAUCAAGAGGAACACCUGAGGUGAAGACGGGUUGCUGGGCUGACACUGACGCUGAGGCGCGAAAGCCAGGGGAGCAAACGGGAUUAGAUACCCAAGUAGUCCCUG
rnacentral:rRNA from 1 species